CUGGGCUAAUACCGCAUAACACUUACGAGUCAAAGCAGCAAUGCGCUUGGAGAGGAGUUCGCGGCAGAUUAGCUAGUUGGUGGGGUAAUGGCCCACCAAGGCGAUGAUCUGUAUCCGGCCUGAGAGGGCGCACGGACACACUGGAACUGAAACACGGUCCAGACUCCUACGGGAGGCAGCAGUGGGGAAUUUUGCGCAAUGGGGGAAACCCUGACGCAGCAACGCCGCGUGGAGGAUGAAAUCCCUUGGGAUGUAAACUCCUUUCGAUCGGGACGAUUAUGACGGUACCGGAAGAAGAAGCCCCGGCUAACUUCGUGCCAGCAGCCGCGGUAAUACGAGGGGGGCGAGCGUUGUUCGGAAUUAUUGGGCGUAAAGGGUGCGUAGGCGGUUUGAUAAGUCUGAUGUGAAAUCUAUGGGCUCAACCCAUAGCCUGCAUUAGAAACUGUCGGGCUUGAGUAUGGGAGAGGUGAGUGGAAUUUCCGGUGUAGCGGUGAAAUGCGUAGAUAUCGGAAGGAACACCUGUGGCGAAAGCGGCUCACUGGACCAUUACUGACGCUGAUGCACGAAAGCUAGGGGAGCAAACAGGAUUAGAUACCCUGGUAGUCCUAG
rnacentral:rRNA from 1 species